rnacentral:lncRNA from 1 species
CCUAAACAUGCAUGUGCUCCAAGCUGUCCCUGAAUUUUCCAAAGAUAGGAUUUCAAGAACAUAGACUGCCCGGGUGUUUUUUAUCUGGGCGUUUAAUUUAAUUUAAUUUAUUCAAACAGACUGAAGCAAAGACAUUUUGGAAAUGCAAAGACAGCUUGGAGCGCUCUCAACUAUCAUGAACAACAAGUAAUAGAACAAGAGCGACAUUUAGAACAGAUGGUUUUCCAUGUCCUCGGACGAUCAACGUCAAAGAAUGUUUCAAGUUUGACCCGGUAGUAGUUCUUCAGUUUAUAUUUGAGUGUGGCAUUAGAGGUGGAGGAUUUCAGAUCUUCAGGAAGGUUGUUCCACAGAGGCACAAUUCUGUUGAAGAAGGAACUUCUGAAAUAGGCAGUUCUGCAAAGGUUGGGUCUGUAGCAAUUGGUUGAACUGAAGCGGGUCAGAUGAUGGGUAGGGUGGUCGAUAUAAUCUUCGGGGUUUAGGUCGUAGAGUCCAGAUUUGAUCUUGUAGAAACAAAUAAUAUCUUUCAUCUCAUACCAGUACGAAAUAGGGAGAAGGUUAAGAAGUUUCAGUCGGUCAGUGUAGGAAGAGUGGUAAUCUUGAAGUAUGUAUUUGGACGCUCGUCGUUGAACACUUUCGAUACGGAGAAGGUCCUUUGAUGUUGAUUGAGGCGCCCAAAGUUCACUUCCAUAACACAGAUGAGCUCUCACGAGUGCCAGAUAGAGUGAGCGUCGACAUUUCGUAUCAGUCAGGUGGAUACAGUUACGUCGGAGAAAACCAAGCAUCUGAUUUGCCUUUGACACGAUACUGGUUAUCUGAGGUGACCAUUUUAAGUUGUUACUAAUUAUUAUUCCGAGGU